rnacentral:rRNA from 1 species
CCCUUAGAUGUUCUGGGCCGCACGCGCGCUACACUGAUACGUUCAACGAGCUUUUCUCGCCUUGACUGAAAAGUCUGGGAAAUCUUUUUCAAAGCGUAUCGUGAUGGGGCUAGAUUAUUGCAAUUAUUAAUCUUCAACGAGGAAUUCCUAGUAAGCGUGAUUCAUCAGAUCGCGUUGAUUACGUCCCUGCCCUUUGUACACACCGCCCGUCGCUCCUACCGAUUGAGUGGUCCGGUGAGAUCCUCGGAUCGCAGCCACAACGCGGGCAACCGUGGUCGUGGCAGUGAGAAGUUGAUCAAACCUUAUCACUUAGAGGAAGGAGAAGUCGUAACA